rnacentral:rRNA from 1 species
GUGGGGAAUCUUGGACAAUGGGCGCAAGCCUGAUCCAGCCAUGCCGCGUGAGUGAUGAAGGCCUUAGGGUUGUAAAGCUCUUUUGUCGGGGACGAUAAUGACGGUACCCGAAGAAUAAGCUCCGGCUAACUUCGUGCCAGCAGCCGCGGUAAUACGAAGGGAGCUAGCGUUGUUCGGAAUCACUGGGCGUAAAGCGCACGUAGGCGGAUUUGUUAGUGAGGGGUGAAAUCCCGGGGCUCAACCUCGGAACUGCCUUUCAUACUGCAGAUCUCGAGUCCGAUAGAGGUGGGUGGAAUUCCUAGUGUAGAGGUGAAAUUCGUAGAUAUUAGGAAGAACACCGGUGGCGAAGGCGGCCCACUGGAUCGGUACUGACGCUGAGGUGCGAAAGCGUGGGGAGCAAACAGGAUUAGAAACCCUGGUAGUCC